rnacentral:rRNA from 1 species
ACGGAGGAUCCAAGCGUUAUCCGGAAUCAUUGGGUUUAAAGGGUCCGUAGGCGGCUUAAUAAGUCAGUGGUGAAAGCCCUACGCUUAACGUAGGAACGGCCAUUGAUACUGUUAGGCUUGAAUUAUUAGGAAGUAACUAGAAUAUGUAGUGUAGCGGUGAAAUGCUUAGAGAUUACAUGGAAUACCAAUUGCGAAGGCAGGUUACUACUAAUGGAUUGACGCUGAUGGACGAAAGCGUGGGUAGCGAACAGGAUUAGAUACCCUGGUAGUCCACGCCGUAAACGAUGGAUACUAGCUGUUGGAAGCAAUUUCAGUGGCUAAGCGAAAGUGAUAAGUAUCCCACCUGGGGAGUACGUUCGCAAGAAUG